rfam:Thioclava dalianensis strain DLFJ1-1 contig9, whole genome shotgun sequence.
GAACCGUUCCAACGGCUUCCUGACGGAACGGGGUUUUCAACAACGGAGCA